GGUGUGCACGCCAUCCUCCUCGCCCAGGCAGAAUGUCACCAGGUGCUGGCACAGGCCAUAGAGAAAGCAAGUAAUGAGGACCUGGGUUUGUCUUCCCAUGGAGACUGGAGGCUCCUUGAAGGCAAGGAAUGGUCUGGAUUAUAUCUAGUCCCUUCAAUGCACCUCUACCUGUAUCAGAGCACCGGGCACCCUUUGCAAUAUCUCUGGACCUUGUCUGAACCCUACUCACCCAGGAUUGCCUCUGAUUUGUGCCUGUGGUCACAUUGUCCAGCUCAAGAGCUGGUCCAGAGGGUAAGUGAGCAGAUUCGAGUGGAACUGAGUUCUGCCAUGAUAUCCGUGUCUGAGGCAAGGUGGAGGAAGUCCACUUUGCAGAAGACCCCCUGUGGCAGUGCAGACCCCAGACUCACAUUGACUAGAUACUGGGACA